GUAGGGAAUCUUCCACAAUGGACGCAAGUCUGAUGGAGCAACGCCGCGUGAGUGAAGAAGGUUUUCGGACCGUAAAGCUCUGUUGUUGGUGAAGAAGGAUAGAGGUAGUAACUGGCCUUUAUUUGACGGUAAUCAACCAGAAAGUCACGGCUAACUACGUGCCAGCAGCCGCGGUAAUACGUAGGUGGCAAGCGUUGUCCGGAUUUAUUGGGCGUAAAGCGAGCGCAGGCGGAAGAAUAAGUCUGAUGUGAAAGCCCUCGGCUUAACCGAGGAAUUGCAUCGGAAACUGUUUUCUUGAGUGCAGAAGAGGAGAGUAGAACUCCAUGUGUAGCGGUGGAAUGCGUAGAUAUAUGGAAGAAUACCAGUGGCGAAGGCGGCUCUCUGGUCUGCAACUGACGCUGAGGCUCGAAAGCAUGGGUAGCGAACAGGAUUAGAUACCCUGGUAGUCCAUGCCGUAAACGAUGAGUGCUAAGUGUUGGGAGGCUUCCGCCUCUCAGUGCUGCAGCUAACGCAUUAAGCACUCCGCCUGGGGGAGUACGACCGCAAGGUUGAAAC
rnacentral:rRNA from 1 species